GUAUUUGGUGAGGGUGUGUGCAGGCAUUUAGGACAGCUGCAUGUUUUUCGAUUACUGCAGGCAGGUUUAGGUGCACAUUUGUGGGUCCACACCAGUGAGCACCUUUCUGUGCCACACAAGCAAGACUUGUGUGCUUGUCUGCAAACGGCUUUGAGCUGGAGAUCCGCAGCCAUACAGCUGGGCAAGUCCAUGACUUGGUAGCACACGUGGAUCAGAUUUGAUUCAGAGUUCUGUAGCCAUGUGUUAUUUAAAUGUUUUCUGCUGGGUUACAUUCCCAGGACUCUGAUCUACAUAUUAUAUCUCAUGCAGUUUGUCAGCUUGCUUUUUCCUGCUUGUUUUCCUGUGUUUGUUUAACACCUCUGCCACAAAACCAACAAAACAUGGUACAAGGAAAGGUGUCCCAGAGGUAGCAGGUGAAUGUGUGCAAUCCUUCAUUGCUUGUGUCACCAAUGCAAAAUCAUCCUACGUGCCGUCAGCUCCCAUUUAGAGAUGUGUGCUAAUUAGCCUUUUAUUACAGUGUGUAUUUGAAAACAAUUGAAUUACAGUGCCAGCAUGUGGCAAAUUCAACCUCAGGAUGUUGAUACAGUUAAGUCAGCAACUGGCGACUCAGUCUGAUUGCCAGAGAGCAUUUGUGUGUGUGUGCGUGAAUAGCCUUUGAUCAGGUGCCACUGCAGCCACCUGCCAGCAGAGAGGCACACACAUACUCUUCAGGGCUCCUUAGCACCCUACAGGGUCCUGUCUAGCUUCUUGGGGUGUAAACGUCCCUUGAACAUUUCUGUUGGAGCAGGAGAAGAAAGCAUGCAUUGUGGUGACAUGCCAGAAGUGGAUGGGCUGGAUACGGGCUGGCUCUACCCAACCAUCAAUCAACAUCUUUGUUUUCUGAGGACAGUGGAGCUGCAGUGUCAGUAUUUGCACGCAAGAAUUCCACUGCCGAGCUGCAGUCAUUCAGAGGUAGAGGUGGAGCAGUGUAGCUCCCUGUCAUGUUUCUUCUGAAUGCAAACUCUAAAAGUGCUUUCAGAAGGGACAGCUGUGGAAUUAUUGACACACACCUGUUUCUGUGGUUUCCCAUAGUUCUGUGAAUGAAACCUAACUGAGACUACCAAUUUCUCUGCCCCAGACUCUCAGCAUACCUUGGGCCAGUGACCGCGGUUGGCUGACCACAGCCGUUACCUGGAAGAGCAAGGCUUUCCCUUCGUUGCUAUUCCCCUGAUCAGCUGGCUUUGCUCCAAAGAUCUCCAUUGCCAGAGGGUGCCAAGCAGAAUGUAUUCGCGGAGAUAUGUGAUUCUUCCCCCUUGAGGAAUUUGCAUUCUGCAGUUCUUAUCUGCUCUUAUUAACUUCCAUGUCACAAGGAAAACUAAAGGCCUACAGCUACAUCUCCGAACAGCAGAACUUUGCCUGCUUUGGAGGGGAAGCCUAAAGCCUCUUUUUGCCAUCAUCACCAUUUGCUUUCAAAUAGACUGUCAGGAAAUCAGCUGUGGUUUUGUUUAACAGAGAGAACUUGCUGUUUGUAAAGCCUUUUCCCUUUGUAAAUCCAGCACCGUUUCACGUCAUAGUUGUGACAGGUUUAAGCUCUGCAGCUGCACUUUCUUGCUUUAAAUCCUGUAUGUGUUUUUUCUAACCUGUGUCUGUGAAAUUCUGGAGCUCUGGAAAAAGAAGAAGAGGAAGAAAAAUGCCAAGUGUUUGGCAGAGGAUGAUUAGAAGCUGUGUGCAUGGUCUCCCCAGUCUCCUCCUCUGAAUGCUUUGACAGGUGCCUUCCUCAGCAGCCUUUGUCUACUUCCAGUCUUGGAUUAAUGCAGUGGGAACACGGGCUUCAGGCACCUUGCAUGGGACCUUACAGCCAAGAGCUGUAAUUUUCAGUUAAAAUUUCCUGCUGGAAUGAAGUAAACACUUUGCUCGGAGGAGCUGUGGAUUCCCUAUCCUUGUAAGUGUUCAAGGCCAGGCUGGAUGGGGCUUUGAGCAACCUAGACUAGUGGGAGGAUUGGAACCAGGUGCUCUUUAAGGUCCCUUCCAGCCCAAACCCUUCUGUGACUCUGUGAUUCUGUGAUUUAAGACGAGCUGUGCUCAUUAUCAGUUUGAUCUACUGACACCACAAUACAGAAACAAUGGGAUUUUGUGCCUGUACAGUCAGAUUAAUGAGUACGCUGGAGCUAUAACACAAACGAACUUUGCUGUGAGACGAGUCUUCUGAGAGCUCACGUGAGUGCCAGGUGUUAGGUGAGUGCUCUGCUGUCCCGAAAUGAUGGAGGUGCAAAAGGCUCGCUGGAUUUUGCUGUAACAAAAAAGCAGGUCUUUGGGGAUAGUUCAAUCCCUUUACAGCUUUAAUGUUAGAAGAAUUUACUUGCUUUGGCCUGUUACACUCAGCGUAAGACUCAGCUUCAUUGUUAAAAUGUAGCUGAAAAAAAAUAAAAAAUUGAGAAAUGGAAAGAUUGGAUUUUCUUGGUUACAUAAUUUUCUUUUAAAACAAACAAACCAUUUUGCAGCUGACAGGAUUUAUGUGGGUACUUAAUCUGGAGCUAAUCAUAAUCUCUAGAAAUGCAGCUUCCUGUAGCUGCCUUGCUAUAAUGUCUAAAGUUUAUAGAAUUGGUGCAGCCAAUCUGGGACCCUCAGAGAACCAUAUCAGCCCCGUUCCUUCAGCUGAGAGAAGCAGCUUGCUUCUUUUUAUGAGCUUCUCCCACCCCUUCAUCUUCCCUUGAUUACUGUUUUCUUGAAAUUAGCUCCUUAAAAUUCUUACAGCCAAUCUCCAAGACCUCCCAGCUGACACAUCUAUCUUCCGCUGCUGCUCUCCUCCUUCACAAGGACUCGCAUGGAGCCCGGGAAGUACUUCACGUUUUGUUUGCUAAUAAAGACCAUGGAGGGAUGUUAAACCGAUAGCACCUACCAUACAAGAAGAUGGCUGGAAAAAAACCGUGGCCAGCAGCCAGAGCGGUUCCCUGCACAGCAGUGAGCUCUCUGAGGUAUUAAGACGUGUCUCUUUGUUACUGACAAUGGCAUUCAAGUCUCAGGUGUGACAGUAUGAAUUCACUGCAGGCCUGAAAAAUGGAGAAAUGGCUCCCCAAAGACAUUUUCCUAAUCCAAAAAUGCAGCGGAGUCUGAAGUAACAAAAGAAAACAGAUUCUGCCUUGUUCUAGCAAAGUUUUGCCAUCCCCGUAUCUCGGGGGAUCUGGUAUCCUCGUUAUCACUGAGGUGCUGGUAGCAGUCCCAGGCACAAAGUGACGGAGCGCCGGCCGAUACUCAUUUAUUGCUGCAGAUGAGACAAAUGUGGAGAGAGCAGGCAGGGGGGAGUUGGCAGGGAAGAUGCAGUGCUGCCAACCCCAACUGCUGCAGCUUGAAGACACAUCUUUAGAAGAUGUUCCCAUGACGCAAUUAGGGAGGUAAUUAAAUAAUCCUGUGAAACACAGCCUGGCUGCUAAGUGUGUUGUAGGCAAGGAGCUGAAGUGCUAUGCUUCUGUCCAUGGCAGGGGGGAGGCAUGAAAAUAAUCUGUUGUCAUUUUUGCCUUUACAAAAGUUUGUAAAGUCUAGAUUUUUACUCCCUAAAAGUGUGUUGCUGAAAGUGCUGUUCAUCCAAAGGACUUUGAGCAAGCUGUUCCAGGUAACAAUAGCAGAUGGGAUGCGAUGGGAAUGCAAUUGCAGAAAAAGGCAAUGGGAUGGACGUAACCACAGGUGAGCCACACACAUGGCAUGACACCUGGAAAAUGCUCGGCACAUCCUGAAAUUACUGCAAAUCCUCCGGGUGCUCGGUGGAAGCUGGCUCAGGUCCUCACGCUGCAGGCACACGCCGGUUGCAGGUGAAGGUAACAGGGUUAACCAGUUGCUCGUGCUCAUUUUUACAGGAGAAUCGAAUGCAGAAUUCCACAAUGAGCGCAUCCAACUGGAAUAACUUCAAGGCAUAGGCAGGACUGUUCGAAUUUUCUGGGUUGCUUUUUCGUCAGGGGACCUGAAUGCUCUGAAUUGCGCAGUAAUUAUGAAUGUAAUAUCUUGACAAUGUUAAAUAUCAUUAAUGACUGAUCUAAGGGAACUUGCAAAUGACCAUGUAGUUACACAGUGUUGGCAGCAUAAAUAGCAAUUAAUGUUGUAACUGUAGCUGUUUGUGCUCAGUAGAUUGUAUCAGGGAAUCCCAUAGAGUGGGAAGGAGUGUCAAAUGUUCUAACACAGGAGAAAAUAAUAAUGAUAGUGAUAAUAUGAAACUGAUAAUUAAGGACCUUCCCUCUGAUACAUCUGCUAAAGCAAUAGGGCUGCUCAGGAGUGCAGAAACCUGAAAAGCAGUUUGUGUGUAUCUGUGGCUCCGUCCAUCCAUCUGUCCCUAACAGAUCAGGCAAGUCAAAGGGAUUGUUAUGGCAAUUACCUCAAGAAAUUUUGCUUUAGCUUAAACUGCAGAGAUCUGUAUUCUUGGGAGAAAGGCCUGGGAUUCUGGAUUUUGCUCUCAGUGAUUUUUGCAGUAAUUAUCUGCAGUAUGCAGGACAUAGAUUUGGUGUAACAGGAAGCUGAAAAGUGCUCCAGUGCAAAGAUAGAUCUGGACUCCCUCCACUGGCCUUCGCUGAAGGCCAGUGAGUGUCUGUCACAGCCGCAAGCCACGGCGCUCCAGGAGCACCAAAAUGAUGCCCAGCUCACCAACUGCAGCAAAGGGUUCAUAUCUCUGUCUGACGCACUGCUCAGGAAGAUGUUUGUCACUCUCAUGAAAAGGAGAAAGCAGCCAGUUAGCCACGGUUUGCUUCACGAAGAAGCUUGGGAAGAAGAGUUGAUAUUUCACUGCACACAGAAAUUGCUGAUGCUGUUUUUUUUCCCCUUCUCUUGGCUAUAAAUGAGAUCUGGAGAGGGGAAUGGAGAGACAGAAAGAACAAGGAAAAAGACCUGAUAAAAUGCCAUCCUGAUCUUGGUCAAUAAACUUAUUUCCAAUUAGGAGCUCCAGCAGCAGCAGGUGCACAGUGUAUGUUCUGCUGCAGGGUACUCAUCCUGAUGGUAAGAAGCCAAAUUUUAAUAAUAUUUGCAUCAGCAAGAAUGUGAAGUAAUCCCAGUGAAAUUAUGCCAUUUAUCCUGGAUUUGUACCAGUAUCAAAGAAAGCAAAAUCUGUCUGAUUUACGUCAAGAGCCUUCUUUGCUGUAAUAACUGAAGCAGCCCUGCACUGCAGCUUCCCUCUUUCAGGCUUAAGGAUUCCCUGCUUUUCUUUAGUACAGAGCUUGGAGAUCUUGUUUCUCUGCUCAGUGGUAAAUGCUCUGACCUUCCUUUCAGAGAUGGUGGCCACUUCUUCCCUGGUUAUAAUUCCUGAUUUGAUGUUCAGCCCUGGUAUAUGCAGGGGUAACUCCAUCAUGUGUGUUGGAGGCAACAUCUUUUGUGCUUGGCCUGGGAUACCCACUACUUGAUGGGGAUACUGCAGUAAUAAAGCAUUUGUAUUUGACCUGAGGGAAGCUGAACAAGCUAAAGAGUGGAGAGAGGGUUGCAACUUGGGUGGAAGAGGCAGGAAGACAAGAAGAGAGAUGAAAUGGUAAAUUUGUGACAGUGGCCACAAAAAGUGAUGGCGGUAGUGCAUUAGGUGAUGCAGGUGGGCAUGGAGUUCUUCCAAAUCACCUCAGCAGAGGACCUGUCCCAUGACUCCCACCCGCCCUUCUCUAUACCAGUGACUGCUGCAUUGCAAAUUAGUCUGCCUAGCCAGUCAGUCUCAGGUGAAUACUGACAGCAAAGGCAUGUUACAGGGUGAAGUCCAAAGACCUAGAUGGAUAGGUGUGAAUAGCAAAUGCAGAUGAGAGCUGGCAAAAAGCUUCAAUGUGGUGACGAGGACAUGAGCACAGGAGAGCAGUACAAGGGAGAGCAGCGCAGGAAACACUGCGCUCUCCAAAUGUGUCAGUCUCACAAAGAGGUGACAGCUGUCAGGGAAGAUGACAUACUGAUGGAUUGCCGCCUUCAUUGGAAGAGAAAUAAGCCCUGCUUAUUAUGGAAUAUUUUGCUUUAAUGAUGCACUGUUGUUUUUUUUCUGUUUUCCAGUUGGUCUAAAUUCUGAUCCCUGUUAGAUGCCAUUAGCAGUUUCCACUGAAAUCCAGAAGCCUUAUACAUCUCACCAGAAGCAUGAUUUGGCUCUAGGCCCAUUGGUAUCACUGGAGCUGGGCUUCUCACAUGUGAACAGGAGACCAGGGGAUGCUCAGAUAAUCUGGGAAAGGCUCUGGCAUGGCCUCAGGUUAGUGUGCUUGGC